rnacentral:tRNA from 1 species
UGUCCUAUAGUAUAAUGGUAAUACAUCUGGUUUUGGUCCAGAGAAUUGAGGUUCAAAUCCUCGUAGGACAA